AGAGUUGAUCCUGGCUAGGACGAACGCUGGCGGCGUGCCUAACACAUGCAAGUCGAGCGAGGAGAUCCUUCGGGAUGAUCCUAGCGGCGGACGGGUGAGUAACACGUGGGCAACCUGCCUCAUAGAGAGGAAUAGCCUUCCGAAAGGAGAUUAAUACCUCAUAACAUUGCAGUUUCGCAUGGAACAGCAAUUAAAGGAGUAAUCCGCUAUGAGAUGGGCCCGCGGCGCAUUAGCUAGUUGGUGAGGUAACGGCUCACCCAAGGCGACGAUGCGUAGCCGACCUGAGAGGGUGAUCGGCCACAUUGGGACUGAGACACGGCCCAGACUCCUACGGGAGGCAGCAGUGGGGAAUAUUGCACAAUGGGGGAAACCCUGAUGCCAGCAACGCCGCGUGAGUGAUGACGGCCUUCGGGUUGUAAAGCUCUGUCUUCAGGGACGAUAAUGACGGUACCUGAGGAGGAAGCCACGGCUAACUACGUGCCAGCCGCCGC
rnacentral:rRNA from 1 species